rnacentral:rRNA from 1 species
AAAUUUGAAAUCUGGCGGCAUCCUGUCGUCCGAGUUGUAAUCUAUAGAAGUGUUUUCCGCUCCGGACCAUGUACAAGUCCCUUGGAACAGGGCGUCAUAGAGGGUGAGAAUCCCGUCCUUGACAUGAUCUCCGGCUGCUAUGUGAUACACUUUCAACGAGUCGAGUUGUUUGGGAAUGCAGCUCAAAAUGGGUGGUGAAUUCCAUCUAAAGCUAAAUAUUGGCGAGAGACCGAUAGCGAACAAGUACCGUGAGGGAAAGAUGAAAAGCACUUUGGAAAGAGAGUUAAACAGUACGUGAAAUUGUUGAAAGGGAAACGAUUGAAGUCAGUCAUGCUCUUUGGGUUAAGCCGUUCGCGGUGUAUUCCAUUGAGUGGGGUCAACAUCAGUUUUGACCGCUGGAAAAAGGCACAGGGAAGGUAGCACUCUCGGGUGAACUUAUAGCCCUGCGUCAUAUACAGUGGUUGGGACUGAGGAACGCAGCAUGCCUUAUGGCCGGGAUUCGUCCACGUACAUGCUUAGGAUGUUGACAUAAUGGCUUUAAACGACCCGUCUUGA